rnacentral:snRNA from 1 species
AUCUGUUCUUUUCAGUUUAAUAUCUGAUUCGCCCUCUAUAUGAGGGCUACAUAUUAAAUGGAUUUUUAGAACAGGGAGCCAGAACAGGAGCUUGCUUCUUCUGCUCCACGCAUCGACCUGGUAUUGCAGUACCUCCAGGACCGGUGC